UGGUUUGUUAACGUUGAAGUGGUAGCCGAAGCAGGGCAAUAUAGUUGAGGCUUCCUGAACCCAAGAAAGAACUAGUCAUUUUGCAGCUGUUUGUGCCCGAGACAUACUGGAGGAGAGGUAGUGUGAGAUAGACGAUAAAAUGCAACGCUAUAUGUUCUUCGCUGUCACGAAGGGGAGGCGAACAGGAGUAUACACAAGUUGGGAAGACGUCAAGGAGUAGAUUAUGGACUUCACUUUCCCUGAGUACCAGCUUUAGCAAGCUACCAACAAGUUGUUUUAGCAUUCAAUGCAAGAUUGCAUUCCAUUGCUGCUGAGAAUGCUGCCACUCUUGAAAUGAUGGGAUAUUCAUGCGAAGGUAGAGGGAAUGAGAAAGGGGACAAGGAAUGUGGGAAUAGCUGGCCAUGACUAGUGGUCUCUUGGCUUCCAGUGAUCCUAGAGGAGGAGGUCAAUGGUGAUUUUCCUAUACUGAAUAGCAUGGAGGAACUUUUGGUGAAGCUAUGCUACGAGUCCGAAAUCCUUGGGCCGUGUUUCUUUAAGCAAGAAAGAUAUCUUAGUGAUGUAGGCCCCUUCUAUGGUUUUACGGUGGUGCUUCCUGGGCAGCCAUACGAAGUUGAAAUGAGUGCGAAAGGUCAUUUUUCAAUGGUGGAAAAGAUGACGUACAAAGAAGCAGCUCUAAAGAUGGUUAGUCAAGUCCUAGAUAUGAUUAGUAAGGAAUUAAAGACUAUAACUACUUUAAAGUGAAGAUGCUACGUGAUACUAACAACGCACUUCGAGCGAAGGUUGGCCAAUUGGAAGAAGAUUAUGAAAAUUUGAUGGCAAGUUACCAGGUAGCUGUGAAUGCUCGUAUCGAAGGAUGUUUCCCUUGAAUUAAGUUGCUUUGAUUAUGUUUAUAUUUAAUAAUGAUGGUGUUGUUUACUUUGAUUGUGGUUAGUUAUGAGAUGCCUAGUUUCAAUUAAGUUGGUUUAUAAUGUCGAUUAUUGACCUGAAUCCUUUUAAUAUGAAUAGUAUUUGUUGGUUUUAAACGGAAGAUUAGUUGUGCCAUUAAUAGUGGUGACAAUGUUAUAUUGGUGUGUUGCAUUUUAUUUGCAAUUGAUGAAAGAGAAUGUUGUAGCUAAAA